UCUCUCUAGGAAGUAGCCGAAAGGAGAU
rnacentral:piRNA from 1 species